ACCCCCUAGAGGCAUUGCAGGUGUAGCUGCUCUGUCGUGUUUGUGUCAGAUGGAAGAGAAGACAGAGGUUAUGUCUAUGCUCUGCGUUCUGUCCUAUAAACAUCUGAAUGAUCAGUAGCCUCACACU